GAUGAACGCUGGCGGCGUGCCUAAUACAUGCAAGUCGAGCGAACGGACGAGACGCUUGCUUCUCUGAUGUUAGCGGCGGACGGGUGAGUAACACGUGGAUAACCUACCUAUAAGACUGGGAUAACUUCGGGAAACCGGAGCUAAUACCGGAUAAUAUUUUGAACCGCAUGGUUCAAAAGUGAAAGACGGUCUUGCUGUCACUUAUAGAUGGAUCCGCGCUGCAUUAGCUAGGUGGUAAGGUAACGGCUUACCAAGGUAACGAUGCAUAGCCGACCUGAGAGGGUGAUCGGCCACACGGGAGCUGGGACACGGUCCAGACGCGAACGGGAGGCAGCAGUAGGGAAUCGUCCGCGAUGGGCGAAAGCCUGACGGAGCAACGGCGCGAGAGUGAUGAAGGUCGUCGGAGCGGAAAGCUCUGUUAUUAGGGAAGAACAUAUGUGUAAGUAACUGUGCACAGCUGGACGGUACCGAAGCAGAAAGCCACGGCUACCAACUU
rnacentral:rRNA from 1 species